UACGGAGGGUGCAAGCGUUAAUCGGAAUUACUGGGCGAAAGCGCACGCAGGUGGCUGAGUCAGUCGAUUGUGAAAGCCCUGGGCUUAACCUGGGAAUUGCAGUCGAUACUACUCAGCUAGAGUAUGGGAGAGGGCAGUGGAAUUCCCGGCUGGUAGCGGUGAAAUGCGUAGAUAUCGGGAGGAACAUCAGGUGGCGAAGGCGGCUGCCUGGCCCAAUACUGACACUCAGGUGC
rnacentral:rRNA from 1 species